AAGCUCUCCGCGACGAAGGUUUACAGAUCUAAAAUUUGAAAUAGUGCGGCAAUAUCGGAAUGAACUGUCGACUUCCUGCUCGACCUGAGAAAAAAUACUUACACGAUGUUUGAGGUUUAGGGGUAUAUUCUUAGGCUGGAAAAAUGGAUACAUUAAGACGGAAAUCAAAAACACCCACCGGUAUAAAAUGCAAUAAAGUCUACUCUAAUAGAAAUAAAGCUUCUUGAAAAUGUAAUAUAAUCCUAAGGACUUAAAUAUCCAUCAGCAACCUAAUGUUGCUGCGCUUAAGGAUAACACAUAACAACAUAAUCACAUCAAAGGCUGAAUGAAAAAGCAAUAUAACUUUUAUCAAUAUAACUGACUGAAUAACAUUAUAUUUCUGCGCAAAUGUGCAGAAUCCAUCAGAAGCAUGAUCAAAGACACGCCCAUUAAGACAGAGAGCCGCAAAAUAAAACGCUUUGUUGGAGGAAAAAAAUGUAUUGAAAAUUACAUAUUUUUGAUUCCUUUGAGCGAAAAUUAACCUUAACAAAAAUAUGAUCUUAAAAAUUUUGAUGAAAUCUUUCAACUCACGAUCUUGAACGCCGUAAAAAUUAAUUUGUUGUUAAUCAGCAUCUCCAAUCAAGUCGAUGCUGUCAUAUGCAUUGGAUUCUUUCGGAUAAAUAUUGAAUUGGAUACCCCUAAUUUGAUAUUUUGACUGCGCGGUUAAAGACUGCACCUCAUCUUCCUGGAUUUACUAUCAUGGACCAACACUGAUCCUAGGCACAUUCGUCCUGAUGGCUAUACACAUUUGGAAAGUGAAGAGGGAAAUGAAAAAAUGUACCCUAUUUCUAUUGAGAAUUCAGUUACCUUCAAAUUUUGCGGCUCUUUGCCAUAAUGGGCGUGUCCUUGGUCCUGCUUAAACUUUUGCAUUUGACGCAAAAAUAUAAUAUUAUUCAGACAGUUAUAUAUGUAAAAGUAAUAUUGUACUUCUAUUCCGCCUUUGGUAUAAUUAUGUUUGUGCUGCUUAUCCUUAAGGGCAGCACUCUUAAGUUGCUCAUCGAUAGAAUUCGGGGAAAGUGGAAAAAGCAAAGUCCCAAUGCGAAAAAAUCAGCAAUGAAACGACACAACUGAGAGAAUUGAUGCCAAUAGCUUGGAGUUUUUCUGUAUAUUAUAGCUUUAUCUUUAUAAUAUAAAAUAAUUCCAAUGGUGACAAAAUGUUCUAACUUUACCGUAAAUUUGGUCAGAACAGUAGUUUUGUUAUAAACACUUAUUAAACUAAUGUAAUGUAAUACUUAAGUUACAAAUGUAAAAAUAUUGAAUCUAUUAUAGAAAGAAAUA